GGCAACCCGCUCGGGUUCACUUCCGCACUGUAGAAGCUUUGUUCUUUCUCCCUUUGCAAUAAAUCUUGCUACUGCUCACUCUUUGGGUCCACACUGCUUUUAUGAGCUGUAACACUCACCGCGAAGAUUUGCAGCUUCACUCCUGAAGCCAGCAAGACCACGAGCCCACCGGGAGGAACGAACAACUCCAGACGUGCUGCCUUAGGAGCUGUAAUACUCACCGUGAAGGUCUGCAGCUUCACUCCUGAGCCAGUGAGACCACGAACCCAUCAGAAGGAAGAAACUCUGAACACAACCGAACAUCAGAAGGAACAAACUCCAGACGCGCCACCUUAAGAGUUGUAACACUCACUGCGAGGGUCCGCGGCUUCAUUCUUGAAGUCAGUGAGACCAAGAACCCACCAAUUCCUGACACGAUACACCAGCACUUCUCAGCCUGUUUCUUACCUACUGCAUAAAUUCUCCAUUCCAGUCUA
rnacentral:lncRNA from 1 species